rnacentral:rRNA from 1 species
AGGAUUAGAUACCCUUUUAUUUAAAAUGUAUUUAUAAAAUAUUUAAGUAGUAUUAGUUAUAUUCUUAAAACUUAAAGAAUUUGGCGGUAUUUUAGUCUGUUCAGAGGAACCUGUUUUGUAAUUGAUAAUCCACAUUGUAUCUUACUUAAUUUUGUUUUUCAGCUUGUAUAUCGCUGUUAUAGAAUAUUUUAUAAGAAAGUUAAUUUUCAAUAAAUUUAAUUAAAUUUAAUAUCAAGUCAAGGUGCAGCUAAUAAUUAAGUAUUUAAUGGGUUACAAUAAAAUUAUUUUUAAUGGAUUUAUUAUUAAAUAUAUAAAUGAAAAUGGAUUUGAAAGUAAAUUCUUAUAGAUUAAAGUUUUGAUUUUAGCUCUAAAAUAUGUACACAUCGCCCG